CAAGACCCACAAGGUCGAGGUUGAAAGGUGGAAGCAGAAGAAGCGGGGGAGGAAAGGUGUUUAUGUGACACCCAUGAAGAAGCCUUUCGCAUUCCAGAAACCUAAAAAGCCAAAGGUUUCCAAGAAAACAUCGAGCCAGACUGAGGUACACAAAAAGCUUGAAGUUCACCUUGUGAACCAUGAUGACCCAUCUGCAAAAGAAAUGGAAAGAGCCUGUCUGGAAAUAAUCGGAACACCAACUUCAGAAGCCACAGUGUCUCAAAAAAUGCAAAAGAGUGAAAUGAAGACGGAUGAAGAAGAGCAGCUAAAGUCACUGUGGAAAAAGAAGAACAUAGAAGUGGUCGUGGCAGUCAUACCAUCUGCCAACCAGUCUGGUUCAUCCUUCCUCAUACAUCACAGUGAACUCUGAUCACUGAG